GAUGAACGCCGGCGGCGUGCCUAAUACAUGCAAGUCGAGCGAACAGACGAGGAGCUUGCUCCUCUGACGUUAGCGGCGGACGGGUGAGUAACACGUGGAUAACCUACCUAUAAGACUGGGAUAACUUCGGGAAACCGGAGCUAAUACCGGAUAAUAUAUUGAACCGCAUGGUUCAAUAGUGAAAGACGGUUUUGCUGUCACUUAUAGAUGGAUCCGCGCCGCAUUAGCUAGUUGGUAAGGUAACGGCUUACCAAGGCGACGAUGCGUAGCCGACCUGAGAGGGUGAUCGGCCACACUGGAACUGAGACACGGUCCAGACUCCUACGGGAGGCAGCAGUAGGGAAUCUUCCGCAAUGGGCGAAAGCCUGACGGAGCAACGCCGCGUGAGUGAUGAAGGUCUUCGGAUCAUAAAACUCUGUUAUUAGGGAAGAACAAAUGUGUAAGUAACUAUGCACGUCUUGACGGUACCUAAUCAGAAAGCCACGGCUAACUACGU
rnacentral:rRNA from 1 species